rnacentral:snRNA from 1 species
UGUCCCUUAGGAGAAUCCGAAAAAUUGGUAACGAUACAGUAGAAGAUUAACAUGGUGCUGUGCAAGGAUGACAUGUACAAAUCGAGAAAUGCUUUAUUUUUUU